UAAAACCUCUAGACUUUCUGCUUUCUCUUCCCCUGUCGUUCCCUCAUGACAAACUCCAGCUGUGUGCGUGGGUAAAAUGUACUCAAGUCUGUCAGCCACCUAGAGCAUUCUGCCAGCUCAUGCUCCUGAUGCCUGUCUUGAAGCUGACUGUCACUACCAGGUGGCCUCUUGGUGGUCAUGCUGCUGUACUUUUCCUGCCCUGUCUCUUGUUGCUGGGUGACUCCCCUCUACACUGACCCCAUUCCUUGCUUUCCUGAGUCUCCCAUGAUUUCAACGGGACGCCAUAGUUUGUACACUUCAUCCUAGAAUCACUGUGCUGUGAAGACUUGAGAGGACUGUUUGGAUGCCUGCCUCCAUCUUUCACAGCUCCACCUGUGGCUCCACCCUGUGCUAGUGUUUCAGUGCAGGUACCCUCGGAACUGGCAAAUGUGAGCCACCCGACGUGGGUACUAGGAGCUGAACCCAGAUCCUCUGCAAGAGUAGCCAGUGCUCUUAACCACUGAGCCAUCUCUCC